CCUACGGGAGACAGCAGUGAGGAAUAUUGGUCAAUGGGCGCGAGCCUGAACCAGCCAAGUCGCGUGAGGGAAGACGGUCCUAUGGAUUGUAAACCUCUUUUGUCGGGGAGCAAAAGCCGCCACGCGUGGCGUUCCGAGAGUACCCGAAGAAAAAGCAUCGGCUAACUCCGUGCCAGCAGCCGCGGUAAUACGGAGGAUGCGAGCGUUAUCCGGAUUUAUUGGGUUUAAAGGGUGCGCAGGCGGCAGAUCAAGUCAGCGGUAAAAUUGAGAGGCUCAACCUCUUCGAGCCGUUGAAACUGGUUGUCUUGAGUGAGUGAGAAGUAUGCGGAAUGCGUGGUGUAGCGGUGAAAUGCAUAGAUAUCACGCAGAACUCCGAUUGCGAAGGCAGCAUACCGGCGCUCAACUGACGCUCAUGCACGAAAGUGUGGGUAUCGAACAGGAUUAGAUACCCCGGUAGUC
rnacentral:rRNA from 1 species